AGCGAACGCUGGCGGCAGGCCUAACACAUGCAAGUCGAACGAACCCUUCGGACUUAGUGGCGGACGGGUGAGUAACACGUGGGAACGUGCCUUUCGGUUCGGAAUAACUCAGGGAAACUUGUGCUAAUACCGAAUGUGCCCUUCGGGGGAAAGAUUUAUCGCCUUUAGAGCGGCCCGCGUCUGAUUAGCUAGUUGGUGGGGUAAUGGCCCACCAAGGCUACGAUCAGUAGCUGGUCUGAGAGGAUGACCAGCCACAUUGGGACUGAGACACGGCCCAAACUCCUACGGGAGGCAGCAGUGGGGAAUCUUGCGCAAUGGGCGAAAGCCUGACGCAGCCAUGCCGCGUGGAUGAUGAAGGUCUUAGGAUUGUAAAAUCCUUUCACCGGUGAAGAUAAUGACUGUAGCCGGAGAAGAAGCCCCGGCUAACUUCGUGCCAGCAGCCGCAGUAAAAC
rnacentral:rRNA from 1 species